rfam:Felis catus isolate Cinnamon breed Abyssinian chromosome F2, whole genome shotgun sequence.
ACCUGGGUGGCUCAGUUGGUUGAGCAUCCGACUUUAGUUCAGGUCAUGAUCUCAUGGCCAGUGGGUUCAAGCCCCACAUCAGGCU